UGAUACGUAGGGGGCGAGCGUUGUCCGGAUUCAUUGGGCGUAAAGAGCUCGUAGGCGGCUCGGUUAGUCAGAUGUGAAAACUCCGGGCUCAACUCGGAGAGGCCAUCUGAUACUGCCGUGGCUAGAGUUCGGUAGAGGAGUGUGGAAUUCCCGGUGUAGCGGUGAAAUGCGCAGAUAUCGGGAGGAACACCAGCGGCGAAGGCGGCACUCUGGGCCGACACUGACGCUGAGGAGCGAAAGCGUGGGGAGCGAACAGGAUUAGAUACCCUGGUAGUCCACGCCGUAAACGUUGGGCACUAGGUGUGGGACCUUGUCAACGGGUUCUGUGCCGUAGCUAACGCAUUAAGUGCCCCGCCUGGGGAGUACGGCCGCAAGGCUA
rnacentral:rRNA from 1 species